rnacentral:rRNA from 1 species
AUCGUACGGGAGGCAGCAGUAGGGAAUCUUCGGCAAUGGACGGAAGUCUGACCGAGCAACGCCGCGUGAGUGAAGAAGGUUUUCGGAUCGUAAAGCUCUGUUGUAAGAGAAGAACGAGUGUGAGAGUGGAAAGUUCACACUGUGACGGUAUCUUACCAGAAGGGACGGCUAACUACGUGCCAGCAGCCGCGGUAAUCGAU